rnacentral:lncRNA from 1 species
GCUCUCACGUUUGCUGCAUGUAUAUGAUUCCUAUCGAAUACGUGUGUGAGGAACCUUCGGGUUUUUUUGGACUACAACUCAGAAAAUUCAAACGUUUCUCAUAAACUUGACCCCGUCGGAGGACAACCCGCGGGCGUGGGCGCUGAUCAGUAAAAAGAAAAAUGGUGGAAGUUCACUUUACUUUUUUCAAGUCCACCGUAAACACUCGAGAAACGGGGAGUAGGCUGAAAGCCGAGAGGUCAAAGGGCGUCCGAUUGGGAGACGAAAUCGAUCGGCGAUAGGAAAAGCCGCUAAAAGCACCUCAAAGUCUUAAGAAAGAGGACGGACACGCCUCCUGCAUUUAUUAACCUUUCACUCACACUUACGUUGAGUGGCGGAACUUUUGUCAGCGAUUUUUUUCGACAAUCUGGAUCGGAAGAUCAGAAUUAAGGCCUAGUCACCGUCAUUUCUUACAAAAUCUUUUCCGUUCCUCCUUUCCUUCUUCCUUUGGAUUCCGAAGAACGAAGAAUUAUUUCUCGUUGAAACGAAAUAUUCGGACAAGGACCAAAGGACGUGACGGAUUUUCGAAUUGAUAAAAACAAAUGGAAAAAUACCGAAUGAUGCGGGAUUAAACAAUGAAAAAGAUAGAAGCAGAAGCAAAACGUGCCACUGAUGCUCUACUGCUAUAUGGUAGCAGGAAAUAUUCAGAAUCUCGAUGAAUAUGAUGAUGAUGAUGAUGAUGUUGGCAAAUAUCUAAUUUAGAUUAGAUUAAACUUGGAAAGUUAAUUGCAUUGCACGCGUUUAGGAUUACGACGGAGGUUCUCCGCAUCAGGUUACACCACGCAAUUUCAAACUCUAUACGAGGAGUACCUCGAUGGAGAUUCGGUAAAAAUUAACGAACUCUUCAUGCUAAACGCCGUCAAGCAGAAGAGGAGAGGAGAAAAAAUUAAGAAUAAAAUAAAACCAAGGGAAAAUUUAUUCCCGCAUACCUCUUCAACCUCGCAACAACACGCCCGAGGUCCUAAAACGAUGCAAGUACGGCAUGCCGCAUAAUUGAUUACGCGAAUAUUGACAAAUUUUCAUGGCAAAUCAGGACCAAAUGAUAUCUACAGGCUUACAUACGUAUUUACCUCCCCCACCCCGAUCGGUUGCGUGUGCAAUUAAGAUCACGAUGCGCUCUAAUUCGGAGGGGUUUUUGCUUCCCUACGUACCGAGCAUACGGUCCACGUAGCUGUUUCUCGAGGUAGCCUUGGGUUCAUAUUAACAUCCGUCUGAGCCUGGAGGGUGUGGGUGUGUCUUCGUAACCCUCCCGCAAACUUCCAUCUUCUUCUUCUUCUUCAUGUUCAUCUUCUUCUUCUUCUUGUGGAACUACAGCGUACGUCAGAGAGCCCCUUUUCUUCACCACCGCACCUUACAUUGGGGCCCCCUCGACUCUCCUCCUCACUCCCACGAAAAAACGAAAAUAGAGAAAGGGAGGAAAGGAAAAGAAACCAACGCGUUGAUAAAGUGACUUGGAAAAUUUCAAGAAAAAGACGAAUGGCAGACCCAUGAGAUAGCCACCUUCCAUACCUCUGACUCAGGUCAACAGAAAAAUGAACGGCAACUCCCUGCGUGAGAAAAAAAGGAGAUCCGGGAGAUGUUUCGUUCGUCGCAACGCGAAGUCUUACGAUACACCGUAUUUGAUCGGUGGUAUGGAAGACGUUAAAAACUUGAUCGAUCGAUGAAGUUUCCAUCCCGUCCUGAUUCGGCGGUGAGUUCUUUGGUCGGAUGGAUAUGGCUUCCGGUUUACCCCGAUGUGACGAAAGUCAAAAAUUCCUCAGGCUACGUCGUCCGCAAUAACCAGAAAACCUUUUCAUUAAUGGCGAUACACUAAGGCUUCUUAACCAGCCAGACAACGAUCAACCCUCCGGUCUCGCGUAAUGAGGAUUAAACCUAUGUGUAGGACCUGUAGCAACUUUUAGUGCUUUGAAGUUUGCUGCUGUUACUGUUGCUGUUGCUGCAAGCCGAUUGUCUAUUCAGGGUGCGGGUCACAAUGCGGCAAUUAUUCAUGGAGUAUCCGACAGUGCAGCACGUGCUGCCCACACCCAAACUUCUUAAACAAGGUCCUGCAGGCCAACGGGCAGGCUGGCGGGCAGGAGGCAGGUUUAGAGGGAAAGAAUACCCUGAAGGAUUUUAAAACCUUCGACCUGGACCAUUUUAGGUAUAUGUGCACCAAGCCAGGAAACCCAGAGGUGGUUUUGAGAGGACCCCUUUAUCAAGAAUUCCACUAAAAUUUCAACCACCAUAUUACAAACCAGAGCCCUUCAAGUUAUAUCCAACCACCGUUCGCCGAAUGUAAAUAUAGACUUGGCCCAGCUGUGUGUGCGACUGGAUGAGAGAGGGAAAAAGAUGAAAGAAAAAAAAAGAAAAAAAGAAAAAAAAAAAAAGGAGACUGGCGACUAGACCGACCCUCGAGUUUUGGUCGUUUGGACUCCGACGGUAUGAAAAAGGCGUUGGUGGUGGUGAGUGCAUUUCGGCCUCGUUUAGUGGUGUCCUGAUCUCUUAGCCUUAUGGGGAACUAUAUGAGGAUAUUAUAUAUGGAACCGACCCACGUGCAACAGGUCCAAAAAGAUCGGCUGUAACUUACCGCGCGUUUUCUUCUCCCUCAUCAUCAGUUAUAACGCACCCAGAGGUUUGGGAAGCGACCCUAAUUCCAUUUCUAAAAAUACAACGGACGCGCAUCAUGUACAACGAAAGAAAAAAGUAAGAAAGCUAAAGAAAGAUAUGAAAAAGACGACGACUUUUCAUUGCUCAGGGAAUAAGUGUGUAAGGGGGUCCCUUGUGGACGCGACACUUUAGGAGUGGAUGAAAGAGGAGUUCGGAAUUCGCCGUGCGGAAGGAGUUCGUUAUCUGUAAGGAUAAAAAAAUCCGAAAGCGAAGUUCGACGGCGAAGAUCAGGAAAAAGGAUGAACGCUGCGGAUUGCAUAAAUUUGAAAAGUGCAAAUGCUGGCGCACUGUCUUUGGCAUAAAGCACACCCAGGAGGGAAUAUACUUGGG